UACGGAGGGAGCUAGCGUUGUUCGGAAUUACUGGGCGUAAAGCGCACGUAGGCGGCUUUGUAAGUUAGAGGUGAAAGCCCGGGGCUCAACUCCGGAACUGCCUUUAAGACUGCAUCGCUUGAAUCCGGGAGAGGUGAGUGGAAUUCCGAGUGUAGAGGUGAAAUUCGUAGAUAUUGGGAGGAACACCAGUGGCGAAGGCGGCUCACUGGACCGGAACUGACGCUGAGGCGCGAAAAGCGUGGGGAGCAAACGGG
rnacentral:rRNA from 1 species